rnacentral:rRNA from 1 species
AGCCUUUAGCUAAACAAGUAUUAAAGGUCCCGCCUGCCCAGUGAAAAUCUUUUUAACGGCCGCGGUAUUCUAACCGUGCAAAGGUAGCGUAAUCACUUGUCUUCUAAAUAAAGACUAGUAUGAACGGCUAAAUGAGGACAAACCUGUCUCAUGUGGCCAAUCAGUGAAACUGAUCUUCCAGUACAAAAGCUGGAAUAAUAACAUAAGACGAGAAGACCCUGUGGAGCUUUAAACCAACUACUAAUGACCCAAACAUAGUACAAGGUUUUGAGUUGGGGCGACUUUGGAACAAAAUACAACUUCCAAGCACGGAGACACCCUCCCCCACUAAGGCCAACAAGCCAAGGCAUAAAAUCGACCCAGUAAUACUGAUCAACGAACCAAGUUACCCCAGGGAUAACAGCGCCAUCUUCUUCAAGAGUCCAUAUCGACAAGAAGGUUUACGACCUCGAUGUUGGAUCAGGACACCCAAGUGGUGCAGCCGCUACUAACGGUUCGUUUGUUCAACGAUUAACAGUCCU